rnacentral:rRNA from 1 species
AUUGAACGCUGGCGGCAGGCCUAACACAUGCAAGUCGAACGAGUGGCGGACGGGUGAGUAAUGUCUGGGAAACUGCCUGAUGGAGGGGGAUAACUACUGGAACCGGUAGUUAAUACCGCAUACCAUCGGAUGUGCCCCGAUGGGAUUAGCUAGUCGGUGGGGUAAAGGCUCACCUAGGCGACGAUCCCUAGCUGGUCUGAGAGGAUGACCAGCCACACUGGGACUGAGACACGGUGCAGACUCCUACGGGAGGCAGCAGUGGGGAAUAUGGCACGAUGGGCGCAAGCCGGAUACAGCCAUGCCGCGUGUAUGAAGAGGGCCUGCGGGUUGUAGAGUUCUUUCAGCGGGGAGGCGUUACCCGCAGAAGAAGCACCGGCUAACUCCGUGCCAGCAGCCGCGGUAAUUC